rnacentral:lncRNA from 10 species
CAGGAUCUGUCAGUAGGAAGUGGCCUCAUUCCCAAAAGAGUGAUGGAGACUCGGUAACCUUUCUUGGUAACAGGCUUUCCUGAGGAAAGAGCAAUUAACCUCAAGUCUGUCUUCAAAAGGUUAGAGUCUUUUUUCUCCUGAGAAACAGAAAAGAGACGUUGGAAGCUGACAUGCCUCUUUGUUUAUUCUUCGUGCAACUCCUACCAAGAUCCUGGAAAAGCAGUGAUUCCUUCACAGUCACCCCUUUAGGGUGGUCCCUAAAACCAGAUGCAGAACAUUUUAGAAAACUCCAAGUCAGUGCUCAUUCCUUGGGGCAACCUGCUCUGGGCCUUGUUGAAGGAGAGGUCUGGUUUGUGACAUUAACAAGUACAUGCUGACAACAAAUACAACCACUUCCUCACCUGCUACCAUGAGGAAACCAACAUACCAGGGUUGCUGGCUUGGAGGGAAACUUACAAACACCCACGAGAGAUGGUGGCUUUUGGCCCCUCACAGCCUCCGUAGUCUCCUGGAUUUCCCUGGCAGAAGGCCCUCAAACUAUGCACAAAUGAGGGGCAUUGUGCAUCCGUCCUAUUUUUAAAAACUCUCCAGGAAAUACACUUGCUGCCUACACUUCCUCACCACCCACUCGCUCUUCGGGGCUUCUAAUCCGGCUUCCGCCCCACCUCGUUCCUGAUGGAGCCCCAGGAAGGACUCCAAGGACCUCCUCCUCAGCCACAAAUCCUGCAGCCUUGCCCCAGUCCCUCAUCCUCAGCCGGUUCAGCAUUCCACAGGAAAUCUCCCCUCUCUGGGUUUCCGUGGCAGGAAACUCCCGUUGUUUUCUCUUUUUAAUGUGUGUGCCUACCCAGGGAUCUGAGCUUAGCACCCCUCCCUCUGUGCUGCCUCCUUCAUUAUCUCACCUACCCUGGGCCUCACCUGACACCUCCAUGCAGAUGGUCCUCACUUCCAGCCUCUCUUGUCAGCACCAACUCUGAGCUCCAACCCCUGUCGGGCAUCAGGUCUCGGGUGCCUCUUCUGAAUGUCUAAAUAUCCCAAACGGAAUGGGUCAUUUUCUGCUCCAGUUCUGUCCUCCCUUUAUAACCUCCUCUCCCAAGAGCCCGCCACCCUCCAGUGUUCACUCUCCAAAUCUUAGCGUCAUCUCUGGCUUACCCAAUGGCCUUACCCCCAAGAUCCAACCAAUUGCAAGUUCUCUCUUUACCACAUCUCUCCGAUAUCACCAUCUUUGUAUUCCCAUCAAGUGCUUAUAUUCUACUCUUUUUCAGACCAUUGCAGUAACCUCCUAACGGAUCCAUCUCUACUCUGUCCUCCUCCCACACCCCUUUCCCCACAAUCUAUAUUCUGUGCUUCUUUGAGGACACUCUUCAAGUUCCAUCAGGAAGGCACUAUUUUGUCUCCCUGCCCUAAAACCUGCAAUGGUUCCCACUGCUGAUAAUAAGUCCUAAGCCUGGCUUUACACCCAUCAUAAUUCAAGGCUCUCCCAGUCCACUUUCCAUCACCUUCCCUCUAGGUACACAUUUCUGCAGUUUACCUCAAAUUCCCACUCAUCUUGAAACACUCUGUCUUCCCAUCUCCAGGCUUUUACUCAAGCUGGACCUUUCUCAGGUAAUGCCUUUCUUUUUAUUUACGUCUACCAAAAUCUUACCUUUCCCUUUAGGGUCAUCUCAAAUGCCACUUCUUCCAGGAUGCCUCCCAGAGUUUCCCCAGCCAGGAGUGCUUUCCAUUCCGUGCUCCCUGGCUUCACUCAGUUUAUCCCUGCACACUCAUCACACUGAAUCUCAUGUUGCAGUAUUUGAGUAUGUGCCUCAUUGCCCUGCCUCUGGGUCAGGGAUGUUGUCCUACUAAAGGAGUCAUUUGCUCACGGUUGAUACUUGCUGAAUUAAGUCAUCAGGUUAGAUAACCAUACACUUGUUUACCUUUCACUGUUUGAAAAAAUACACAUCCAAAAUAUAUAAUCACAGGGACUAAAUCAAAGUAAAGAAUAUGGAAAUAUGUUCUGUUCACAUCCAUGGGUGAAGAUCAGAAUGUAGAUCAAAACCCAGUUCUUGAGUGACUUGGACCGUUGCUGGAUAGAUUUUAACUAAUCUUAUGGAAAAUAUUCAAGGGACUUAAUGAGCCUAGCUAGGAAAGGAGGAGGGCAAGCGAGAGGGAGCCAGAGCGGCUGCUGUCAAGAAACACUUUCUUCCUGUAACCGUAUCCCCCGGGACCGGGCCAGUACCUUUGCUUAAUCUCCCUCUCUGUGGUCACUCAGGAUAUGAUUACUGGCAUCAGAUGCAAGCACAUGUUUCUGUUCCAUUAAUCUGAGUGAGGCUGAGAAAAUGAAAAGGGAGUCACAAGGGCAUUGCUGUGUUGGUCUGUUACCACCUCAAAGAGGAGCAAGAGAGAAGGGGGAGGAAGGAUCUGGCACAUGGGCCAGGAGGGGGGCCGUAAGGGAGCAAAGGGAGAUGAGAAAACCAUACAAAGAAGAAGUUCCUGUAGCAUGGAGGCUGAUUCCUUUCAGCUGUUACAAGAUGGGGCAUGGAGGAGGGAUGUACACACACACAUAGACACACACAGACGCACACAGGGGCCCCCACAAAGCAACCUAUAGACUCAGAGCAUCUCCACCAUAGGGCUUUUGCAAUCAGCCUGAUAACCCUUGUGAGUGUUGUUGCUCAGGGUGUACAGAAACCCACAUAACAUAAAUCUGUCUUACACACAGUAACAGCCUUAAUGGGAGGCUGCGGCACAGUAAUGAAGAUGUGAACAGCUAAAACACAAUGUCAGAUGGCAGUGGUGACAUCUGAAAGCCAUAAUUUGCGGCUCGGCAUAUUUUUGUUCCAGGUACCAGAGCCUGCACAAAUACUCGCUGACUUGUCUCUCUCAAGCAGCAUCUCUGCUGGGCUUGGCCAGGGGCCAGGUGGUCUUUGCCUUGCCAACAGGUUUCUGCUAUAGAGAGCCCAGGAAGUCUUUCCUCUCUAUCAUCCGAUGGAGCCGAAAUGGAGCAACAGAAUAGGUAUAAACACAUAUCUUGUUCCUGAAGUUCGGGCCACUUAAAUAACCCAUUUCCCUUUUGUCCAAUCAAAGUGUCCUGGCUGAAUAUCUUGAGGGGUGGCCAAAUGAAUCAAAAUAAUUUUAGCUAAGCCAGAGCUUGGGGGCUUCUGGAAAGGAAAGGUGAGACAUUAUGGAGCACAGAGGCACCAGAUUCUGUUUUUCAGCUGUGACUCUCCCUUCUUUUCAAUCCCUCCUUCUCAUUGCUACCUUCCCAGAACCUCAGCACUGCAGACAAGCAAUUUCUUCAAGUACAGACCUUCAAAUUAAAGGUUACAUUUCCAGUUCUAGCUAGCUACCUGGCAGUUAAAUGGCAUCAAUGCAUGAGUUAAGGUUUAUAAAUGCAAGGGAAGAGGGGCUCCACUGAGGAAGCAGUGUUAUGUUUAGCCCCAAGGAACUGAGGAAUUCAAAGUCUAGGCAGAGUGGCCUUUUCCAGCGCCUUAAUCCUCCCUGCUGGGUCUCCACUCAGCAGCCCGUAUACAUCUGUUGACCUGCUGCUCUGGACUGCCUUCCUGCCAGGCUCUGUGCAGUGGGCGGAGAGGAUAAAGUGACUGUUAACAGCAGGAGUCUUAACUCCUGGCCUGGGUCCCUAAAAGCACAGGCUGCAAAACAGUUUAAGCUGCCACCAAGACACCCCGCCCCCACUGUGGUGGCUCCGGACCCUUUCACUUGCACAGAGGUUUGCUUCAAGGAACUUUGAGGGUCAACUGGAGCUUCACUCUGAAGUUGGGGGGCUGGCGAGGGCUGCAGCACCUACCACAAGCGCCUUAACGUGCGCAUGGGGAGGCUGCUAUGAAUCCCCCCUUACAAAGGCUCAGCCGCAUGACAUCAGGAGAAUCUCUGGGAACAGGUGUGGCGGGAGCUCAGCACCCACAGGGCAUCAGUCUGAAGGCAGCCUGCAGGCAGGAGUGAGAGAAACAGGGUCACACAGCAGAAACUGGCCCCACCCCUGAGAAGCUGUCCAGCACCUGCUUUGCAGAGAUGGGUCUGACCUGAGUUCUUGGGAUCCCAAACAUUUUCCCACCCAGAAGACAGCACACGGUCUUAUGAGCAGUGAACAUCAGGUCACUUGGGGAACUGGGGGACUAAUUUAUUUUCAGUUUUUACUAUAAACAUUUUAGAUUUUUGCUCAGAUUGACAUUUUAUUGGGAUAUGAUUUAUAUACAGUGAAAUUCACCGUUUCUCUCAGUUUAAACAAAUAUAGAUGUUCAUGUAACUCUCCCUACAAUCAAGAUGUAAAACAUUUCCAUCUUUCCAAAAAGUUCCCUCGUGCCUCUUCAUCAUCAAGUUUGACCCCCUCAGCCCCAUUCCCUGGCAGCCACUGAUCUGAUUUCUGUCUCUAUAAUUUUGCCUUUUCUAGAAUGUUAUAUAAAUAGAAUAAUACAGUAUGUAGCCUUUCAAAUAUGGCUUCUUUCACUUAGCAUGAUUCAUUGUGGAUAUAU